rnacentral:rRNA from 1 species
ACACUCCCAAACCCCAAUGUGAACGUUACCAAUCUGUUGCCUCGGCGGGAUUCUCUUGCCCCGGGCGCGUCGCAGCCCCGGAUCCCAUGGCGCCCGCCGGAGGACCAACUCCAAACUCUUUUUUUCUCUCCGUCGCGGCUCCCGUCGCGGCUCUGUUUUAUUUUUGCUCUGAGCCUUUCUCGGCGACCCUAGCGGGCGUCUCGAAAAUGAAUCAAAACUUUCAACAACGGAUCUCUUGGUUCUGGCAUCGAUGAAGAACGCAGCGAAAUGCGAUAAGUAAUGUGAAUUGCAGAAUUCAGUGAAUCAUCGAAUCUUUGAACGCACAUUGCGCCCGCCAGUAUUCUGGCGGGCAUGCCUGUCCGAGCGUCAUUUCAACCCUCGAACCCCUCCGGGGGGUCGGCGUGUGGGGAUCGGCCCCUCACCGGGCCGCCCCCGAAAUACAGUGGCGGUCUCGCCGCAGCCUCUCCUGCGCAGUAGUUUGCACACUCGCACCGGGAGCGCGGCGCGGCCACAGCCGUAAAACACCCCAAACUUCUGAAAUGUUGACCUCGGAUCAGGUAGGAAUACCCGCUGAACUUAAGCAUAUCAAUAA